UUGGCACUGAGUAGUCUUGGUUAAGGGCUGGAAUCCUAUUCAUUCUAGUCUGGAGAGGAGAAAAAAUUCCCCUCUUCUUUCCCACUUUCAAAAGUGGAAAGAACGGAACACUUCCGAUUUCCUAACCAUAAAGGAUGACUGAUAAUGGCCUUGUGAAAGCUGUUAAAGCCCUAUAUGGAUGCACAUAUUAGAGCACUGCAGAGUGUUGGAGCCAAAGCCAUCUUCUGGUCUUGAUGAGGCUUGCCAGGCACACAGGUCACAAUAGUCACUGGGCAAAAAUGCUGGGUAGUCCCUGGAUAGAUUUCCCCCUACUGGUGUCUACAUGUCAGGACCCAUUUUUCUCCCUAAGGCUAAUUGUUGAUCUGCUGCUUUCUUCAUUCAUUUCCUCUGUAAGGUAAUAUAACCAAGAGGUGACCCUGAACUAGGAGUGGGUUAGAAAAGAUUUCAGGGGCUCUUAAGCUUUCCCUUUCCAGUCAC
rnacentral:lncRNA from 1 species